rnacentral:rRNA from 1 species
UAANCCUNAGAAACCCAAAAGAUCGAAUGGGGAGAUUCAUCCUCAGCGGCGUGGCUUCCGUGUGGAUUCGAUGGCCGGGAUUUCGGUUCCGCGUCACGCGUUUACUGCGGUAUGAUCGGCGUCGUCGGCGUGCACUUCUCCCCUAGUAGGACGUCGCGACCCGUUGGGUGCUGGCCUACGNCCCGGUUGGCCGACUGUCUCGUCGCGUGCAAGCGCGCACGAGGCAGACCACCGGUUGUCUGGCCGGCUGCCCGGCGGUAUGAGAUCGCUAUGAAACGGUAUUGGGCCGCAUUAAGUGCGUUCUGGCUCGUCGGCAGGCUCGUCUCGCUCGGAUUUACGGACCUAGCGCCGUUGCCGGGCGCUUGGCGUGGCCGUUAGUCGACGAUGUCCUCGGACCGGCUCUUACAUUCGA